rnacentral:tRNA from 1 species
GCUAGCGUAGCUUAAUUUAAAGCAUGACACUGAAGAUGUUAAAAUGGGGCCUAGAAACCCCCGAAAGCAC